rnacentral:rRNA from 1 species
GUUGUGAGAAGUUUAUUAAACCUUAUCAUUUAGAGGAAGGAGAAGUCGUAACAAGGUUUCCGUAGGUGAACCUGCGGAAGGAUCAUUG